AGAGUAAUUCAAAAUUUAUAUUACGUCCGUUUAUCAGGUAAAUAUUGAAAACGGAGAAAAAUGUACAGUGUGUACGAACCUUUUUUUUCGGUUCGUAAACAUCUCGGAUGAUUUGUACAUAUUUUUUUAUUUUAUUUUUUUUUUUUUACCGUACUCUCCCCCUUAUUGAACUAGAAAGUGGAAUAACUCGUCAACGUGUGUUGACGGCAAUCAAAAAUUUGAACAACGAAAAUUCGAUUUAAUCUAUAACACUACGUCAUUUGAAUUUCAAAAGUUGAAACCGGCCAAAACCCUUGAACAAAGGCAGUAAAAA